UUGCCUUAGUUUUACCCUAAAACUACCUUGUGAAUUGAUUUGAUCGAAGAAAAAGAGUCGAAGCCCUUUUUCCUUUGAGGCCGUGGGUUAUUACCUUUAGGGGGGAGUUUUUCGUUUUCGAAAACUUGUCCUUUCGUACCCGAUUGUCGUAUUCUGAAGCUUUAAUGCUUUGUCUAUCGUUUAUGUAUUGUUUUGCGAUCGAACUAAUCGAUUUUGUUUGGUUUCUGCUUUGUUUUCCUCCGAGGUUCAGUUGAAGGAACUUUGGAAUACUCAGAGCAAUUGUUUGAGGAAACUUUGUUUGCGAAGCUGGAACAGCUCGAGGCGUCUGUCAGCCGGUUCGUGAUGAUUCGUCGUGCGGGAAAGACCCGGAGCGAAAUGUCUAUUACUGAAGCUUUCGACGAGGACCCGGACUUCAUGGCUGAUCGAGGGAGAGUCGAUGAUAGUAGUGUGGGAUAUGGGUGGUUAGAGUCUUUUGAGUUGGUUGUCACUGUCAUAGCUCUGAUUCGUCUUACUUUUGGGACCGGGUAGGUUCCCGAUAUAUGGCUUUUGUGUGGUUCUCUUGCUGAGGAUCACAGAGAGUCUGUCGGACUAUAGGGGUCUUGGGUUGAGGCCAUUUUGAGGCCGACUUUCUCUUGGAUAGUGGUAUAUUUGAUGCUUUUGCGUACAGUUUUGGUUUGUAUAUAUUCGCCUACGAGCAUGUUACCUUGGAGUCACUGCGUGUGCGCGUGACGGGAUAGUGCAGCAGAGGCUGUACCUUUGUAUAUGUUGUUUAUCGGUUAGUUUAG